AUUAGCGGCGAACGGGUGAGGAACACGUGAGGAAUCUGCCUUCAACACUGGGAUAACUCCGGGAAACCGGGGCUAAUACCGGAUACGAGACCUGCAGGCAUCUGCGGGUCUGGAAAGUUUUUCGGUUGAAGAUGACCUCGCGGCCUAUCAGCUUGUUGGUGAGGUAAUGGCUCACCAAGGCGACGACGGGUAGCCGGCCUGAGAGGGCGACCGGCCACACUGGGACUGAGACACGGCCCAGACUCCUACGGGAGGCAGCAGUGGGGAAUAUUGGGCAAUGGAGGAAACUCUGACCCAGCGACGCCGCGUGCGGGAUGAAGGCCUUCGGGUUGUAAACCGCUUUCAGCAAGGAAGAAGCGAAAGUGACGGUACUUGCAGAAGAAGCACCGGCUAACUAUGUGCCAGCAGCCGCGGUAAUACAUAGGGUGCAAGCGUUGUCCGGAAUUAUUGGGCGUAAAGAGCUCGUAGGUGGUUCGUCACGUCGGAUGUGAAAAUCUGGGGCUUAACCCCAGACCUGCAUUCGAUACGGGCGAGCUAGAGUGUGGUAGGGGAGACUGGAAUUCCUGGUGUAGCGGUGGAAUGCGCAGAUAUCAGGAGGAACACCAAUGGCGAAGGCAGGUCUCUGGGCCAUUACUGACACUGAGGAGCGAAAGCGUGGGGAGCGAACAGGAUUAGAUACCCUGGUAGUCCACGCCGUAAACGGUGGGCACUAGUAGU
rnacentral:rRNA from 1 species